rnacentral:rRNA from 1 species
UACAGAGGUCUCAAGCGUUGUUCGGAUUCAUUGGGCGUAAAGGGUGCGUAGGUGGCGGGGUAAGUCAGGUGUGAAAUUUCGGAGCUCAACUCCGAAACUGCAUUCGAUACUGCCGUGCUUGAGGACUGGAGAGGAGACUGGAAUUUACGGUGUAGCGGUGAAAUGCGUAGAUAUCGUAAGGAAGACCAGUGGCGAAGGCGGGUCUCUGGGACGGUACUGACGCUGAGACGCGAAAGCGUGGGGAGCGAACAGG